GUUUCAUCAGUCCCCUCCCUUUUCAUCGGCUCUUGCUGCCAGGUGGUCUGGCAUUCCCUUAUCUCAGCCUCAAAGGACUCUGCAGUGCGGGGGAUUGGAAAGACAAACCAAAUUCUUCUCCUGAGAGAGGCAGGCAAAACCACUGAGGACUGGAUCAUCUGCCUUUGCUUAUUAUACUGCAACACAGGAACAGCCUGAUCUGAAAACUGUGGCCAGACAGAAGACAAACACACUCUACAGGCCAAAAAGAAGCAUCACAGCUAUUUCGUGGGCUGCGUGCAAUGCUGUCCCUGGAGAGCAGUAACUGAGAAGAGUUAAGGCAAUGGAAGCCCAGUUCAGGCACGCUGCUGAGGGGCAGAGUCUUCACACACAGGUGUCUGUAGGGGGGUCUGGAGCUGAUUCCUGUUCCAGCUCCGUGUGCACCUGCACAGCUCGGGGCAGCGGUGCUGCAGGCUGCGCCCUGCGGGUCUCUGAAGGGACAAGCCCAGGCACACUUGCAGCUCAGCGUGUGUCCCAGAUUGUCUGGAUCAGCCAGGCAUGGCCAGAACACAUCUCAGCCCACCAGGAGGGGCAGCAAGGCCCGCUCUUCAUCUGUGGAUGGCCCAAAGCACCAGAAGCUGCACAGCGGAGUUGGAAGAUGGUGGUAUAGA